rnacentral:rRNA from 1 species
UACGGAGGGUGCGAGCGUUGUCCGGAAUCACUGGGCGUAAAGGGCGCGUAGGCGGUUCGUCAAGUCCUGUGUGAAAUCCCCCGGCUCAACUGGGGAACUGCACAGGAAACUAGCGGGCUUGAGUUCGGGAGAGGGAAGCGGAAUUCCGGGUGUAGCGGUGAAAUGCGUAGAUAUCCGGAGGAACACCGGUGGCGAAGGCGGCUUCCUGGACCGACACUGACGCUGAGGCGCGAAAGCUAGGGGAGCAAACGGG